UUUUCGGUGUUUGCAUCGCAAUCUAAAUCUGACGUCAUUUUCCCAACUAUUCGACACGUGAUUGGCUAGAACGUUUCGUCGACGUCAGAUUUUAGCUUGUCACCAACAGCUGAUCGGGCACCUUGUUAUGAUAGAAGUCAGUGUCUUCAGUGCGACAACAAUACGUUAAUAUAGAUGUGGGUUGGUUAUAUUUUGAGAUUGAUUUACAACUGGCACACAUAAGUUGACAGUUAAUGCAUAAAGAGUGUAGUUUCUAUAACAUCAAAUAUGAGGUCUAUACACAAUUAAAUUACAUGCAUGAAGAUAACUUGGAGGCAAUGGUGUCAUACAAGUUUAAUAGUUUUAACUAUGAUAGCC